UACGGAGGUGGCUAGCGUUGAUCGGAAUUACUGGGCGUAAAGCGCACGUAGGCGGACUGUUAAGUCGGGGGUGAAAUCCCGGGGCUCAACCCCGGAACUGCCUUCGAUACUGGCAGCCUAGAGGAAGGCAGAGGCUAGUGGAAUGGCGAGUGUAGAGGUGAAAUUCGUAGAUAUUCGCCGGAACACCAGUGGCGAAGGCGACUGGCUGGGCCUUUUCUGACGCUGAGGUGCGAAAGCGUGGGGAGCAAACAGG
rnacentral:rRNA from 1 species